CCUACGGGAGGCAGCAGUGGGGAAUUUUGGACAAUGGGCGCAAGCCUGAUCCAGCCAUGCCGCGUGUGGGAAGAAGGCCUUCGGGUUGUAAACCACUUUUGUCAGGGAAGAAACGGCUUUUUCUAAUACAGAGAGCUAAUGACGGUACCUGAAGAAUAAGCACCGGCUAACUACGUGCCAGCAGCCGCGGUAAUACGUAGGGUGCAAGCGUUAAUCGGAAUUACUGGGCGUAAAGCGUGCGCAGGCGGCUUUGCAAGACAGAUGUGAAAUCCCCGGGCUCAACCUGGGAACUGCAUUUGUGACUGCAUGGCUAGAGUACGGUAGAGGGGGAUGGAAUUCCGCGUGUAGCAGUGAAAUGCGUAGAUAUGCGGAGGAACACCGAUGGCGAAGGCAAUCCCCUGGACCUGUACUGACGCCCAUGCACGAAAGCGUGGGGAGCAAACAGGAUUAGAUACCCUGGUAGUCCACGCCCUAAACGAUGUCAACUGGUUGUUGGACGGCUUGCUGUUCAGUAACGAAGCUAACGCGUGAAGUUGACCGCCUGGGGAGUCGGCCGCAAGGUUGAAACUUAAGGAAUUGACGGCUGNGAGNGCGAGACGACGACGAGGGAGGAGG
rnacentral:rRNA from 1 species